rnacentral:rRNA from 1 species
CGUUAUUCGGAAUUACUGGGCUUAAAGAGUUCGUAGGCGGCAUUGCAAGUAGGGUGUGAAAGCCCUCGGCUCAACCGAGGAAUUGCGCUCUAAACUGCAGUGCUUGAGGAACCUAGAGGUGAGCAGAACAGAUGGUGGAGCGGUGAAAUGCGUUGAUAUCAUCUGGAAUACCGGAGGCGAAGGCGGCUCACUGGGAGUUUUCUGACGCUGAGGAACGAAAGCCAGGGUAGCGAACGGG